rnacentral:lncRNA from 10 species
UCGAUGUGAGCUUCCAGAGGGCUGUGCAAAUGUCCACCCAUGUCCGUCUCCUGUGCCCAUGGUCCGUACACGUCUGGUCAUCACCGUCAGAGGGUAGGACUGUGUCCUGCCUUUACAGGUAAAGUGUUUAGCAUGCAAAAUGCUUAGCACAGACACUGGCACCUCACAAGGGCCCAAGAAAGAGCCACUAGUGUUUACCUUGUUAUUCAUAUUAUUAUCUGGUAUACAAGAAUAGCUAGUGAGCACCCUCCAUGUGUGGGACACUGUGCCUGGUGCUGCUGAAGCCACUUGAAAAUGGUACCUGUGAAUUUCCCCAAAGCCAUCUGGAAUCAAGCUGGAAACUCUAGCUCUGUUUCCUACUGAAGGGAGACACGUAUCCCCUCAGUGAGAAGUCUUUUCUUCAAAGGCCCUUGGUCGGUGUCAAGGAUCCUUCGAGUCUAGGUGAAGUUGGUUGGUUUGGUCUCCAGAGCGGUGUGUGAAUACAAAUACAAAUACCGUAUUCACAGAAUAGAGGAUUUGUAGGUGGAGAUCCUUGUCAACCUCUCCCCCAAAGUAGUCAGAGAAAUGCCAGAAGAGAAGGAGCUCUCCAAAGGGGAGUGGGCUGGGCUGGGGGAGCUCAGAGCAAACCGUACCCAUCAUGGCUGGAACUCACUCGUGUCCCAGCUACUCCUCUCACUGGCUAAGGAAUAAGGUGAGACAGUACAGAAGGUUGAGGUCGGAGAGCUGGGUGGAUUUAGGGAGAUACAGAGAUGGAAACUUUGCUGUGGUCACGUCAAGUCAGACGAUCUGAUAUAACUUCAUCCACAUCAGCCUCCACCUUCUUUAUAAAAGCUCCCUCUGGUUCCUGUGUGGAGAAUGUUUAGGGGUACAGGAGGGAACCCAGAAG